rnacentral:rRNA from 1 species
AACGAACGCUGGCGGCAUGCCUAACACAUGCAAGUCGAACGAGACCUUCGGGUCUAGUGGCGCACGGUUGCGUAACGCGUGGGAACCUACCCUUAGGUUCGGAAUAACUCCCCGAAAGGGGUGCUAAUACCGGAUAAUGUCUUCGGACCAAAGAUUUAUCGCCUUUGGAUGGGCCCGCGUUGGAUUAGCUAGUUGGUAGGGUAAAAGCCUACCAAGGCGACGAUCCAUAGCUGGUCUGAGAGGAUGAUCAGCCACACUGGGACUGAGACACGGCCCAGACUCCUACGGGAGGCAGCAGUGGGGAAUAUUGGAAAAUGGGGGAAAGCCUGAUCCAGCAAGGCCGCGUGAGUGAUGAAGGCCUUAGGGUUGUAAAGCUCUUUUACCCGGGAUGAUAAUGACAGUACCGGGAGAAUAAGCUCCGGCUAACUCCGUG